rnacentral:rRNA from 1 species
GAUGAACGCUAGCUACAGGCUUAACACAUGCAAGUCGAGGGGAAACGAUAUUGGAAGCUUGCUUCCGAUAGGCGUCGACCGGCGCACGGGUGAGUAACGCGUAUCCAACCUGCCCAUCACUUGGGGAUAACCUUGCGAAAGUAAGGCUAAUACCCAAUGACGUCUCUAGAAGACAUCUGAAAGAGAUUAAAGAUUUAUCGGUGAUGGAUGGUGAUGCGUCUGAUUAGCUUGUUGGCGGGGUAACGGCACACCAAGGCGACGAUCAGUAGGGGUUCUGAGAGGAAGGUCCCCCACAUUGGAACUGAGACCAGGUCCAAACUCCUACGGGAGGCAGCAGUGAGGAAUAUUGGUCAAUGGACGAGAGUCUGGACCAGCCAAGUAGCGUGCAGGAUGACGGCCCUAUGGGUUGUAAACUGCUUUUAUAAGGGAAUAAAGUGAGAGUCGUGACUCUUUUUGCAUGUACCUUAUGAAUAAGGACCGGCUAAUUCCGUGCCAGCAGCCGCGGUAA